CCAGGUCCCCCUAACAGCUCACAGCUAAGGCGCAAGCGCUACAAUCGGCCAUUUUAAGUACCGCCUGCAGACAUUGAAACGAAAGGCGCCAUUUUGGACGAGGGUUUGGUUUGCCUCUUCACAAUACUGGUGCUGACAAUAACCGUUGGCUAGACCGAAUCAGUACACUGCUGCCUAGGAACAGUUUGCCCUUAGUAAAGAUGGUAAAAACGACCUCGAGGGAAAGUGGGCGUGAGAGGUGGAGUGGAGCUCAACCCCACGAGAUCAGCGCUGAUUGCCGCAAUGUUGUUUCCUGAUGAGAGUCGCUACACCUACUUGCUUCUACAGCUACUCAAUAAGGAACACUGUAACAUGCUGCUGUGCUACUAUAAGCUUGUGUAGGUCAGUGGUCCUUAAUGGGCAUACUCAGGUGGAUAAUGAAUUGCUGUCAAGCUUUUUUUAAUUUUGGAAGGAUGUGCUGCAUUCAUAGACAGCAACACUCCACACUCCCUACCUGCUUACAUGCCUUUUGGACAAAAGAAUAGCAGAGCAAGGUCACUAUGUGAUACAGAGUUAAGUUCUGAAGCUGGCUCCUCACCUUCCUAUUGCAAUUGAUGUCAUGUGAUACCAAGCCGUACUUGAAAUUUAGUGGGCUCCCUACUCCUGGCUGCAGUUGAAUGCCCACCUGAAGUCAGGAUAGGUUGAAGACUGCUGAGAGAAUCCCUGAGUGGAGGAUAAGAUAUUCAUAUGGUUUCCUUACAGAAUUCUCAUAUUGUAAUAUUUAUUUUGGCUUAUGUUGCCAGUUAUAGAGAGUUGUGUAUUGAGAGUGGUAUGGUAUGGCAUAGGUGUCAGACUCGCAGCCCUCCAGAUGCUUUGGACUAUAGUUCCCAUUAUCCCCUGCCAGCAUGAUGCUGGCAGGGGAUGGUGGGAACUAUAGUCCAUAACAUCUGGAGGGCCGUGAGUUUGACACCUGUGUGGUAUGGCAUAGAAUCUGGACUAGAAUAACUGUACUAGAAUAACAGGGUGAGGGGAAAAUACAUAUGUGGCUAUAUUAAUUCAUAGCAAAAUUUUAAAAACCCUAAUACAAAUUACAUAAUAUCUUUUACUAAGAUCAACCAAAAUGACAAUACAGUUUGUACAUGUUCAAAGUUCUUUCAAGGAAAAGUUCUGGAGAACUCAGAAGGUAGCACAUGAUUGGUCUUAAAGGAGUAAUAGUUUUGAAAAAGGAAACAAUCUAUUUCGGUACCAAAAAGGAAUGCAAACAUCUAGUACUUUUAAGCUUUGAACAUGCAUUUAAUACAGCUUUUACUGGUCAUUCUACUAUUCCCACUGGUGCUAGAGGAACAAACUUAGAAUGUUUGAGCAAGAAUAAAUAAAAAAUGUUCUACUA